CCUGCGCGCCCGAGGCUGCUGCUCCGGAACCUGCGCCCCGCCCCGCCUUCUCCCGGAAUGUCUCGCUUUUUCUUUUUUUUUUUUUUAGAUGGUCAGGCUAAGUUUUCGCAUUUAGGGUUUCCUCCUGUCCGUAAUCCAGAACGGAGGAGCCACUGACCCCUUUGGUUUGGCCUUUACCCUGCACACCCCUUCUGGUCCCCUUUCUUCACACCAGCCAUUAUCAGCACAUCACUGGAGAACGUGGUGCCAUCCUGGGCAGGAGGAGUUGCGGGGGAAACUGAGUUCUGUGUUGGGACCCCUUUGCUUUUCCACACAGUCUCUAGGAGGAGGGAAAGAAAGAGACCUGAACUUUCAUGUGAGGACUUUAACCAUCUCGCCCCCUCUGCCCCAGGUAUUAUUAACUCUCCUUUUGCGUGGCGGGGAGGUGAAGGUCCAACAAGAUCAUCUGUGGACCCAGGGCUUGGGCCCUCUUAGAACCUCACUUUUGCGCCUUGCGAUUGGUUCUGUGGCUGACAAAGGCCCCCAAACUGUGAGUCUUGGCAGAGUGAUUAGGCCCCAGAUCCCGACCCAGCGGUUCUGAGGAGUGGGCGGGCCCCUCCCUAAGGCCAAACGGAUUGGAAAGGCAAACAGAGUUGGAGAAACUAGGAAAAGUUUGCCAACCCCUGGAGUAAGAGGAUGAUGAAACCACAAGAUGGAAGGAUCCUGAGUUCCUGAUUAAUUCACUGGAGCAGAACUCAGCGUACCCCCACCCCACCCUGUGACAGAAGGAGAUGGUCCAUAAAGAUGCAUCACUUUCUCUAAGCAUUUAUUGUCAAAUACUAUUGCAAAGAAGAAAAAGUCAGCAGCCAUUUCACUGGGGCCUUGCCUGGAGCCAGGAACUGGAGCCAAUGGACUGUGUCCUGAAGGUUUGAAAUUCCACAGAAGUCAAAACUGAGAGUUUGCGUUCCUCACAGACAAGCAAAACUUUCCACAGAAAUAUCAUCACCGUGCAGCAGCAGAAGCCUGCCUUGUGUCAGCCUCCACCCCAGAACUGCAGGUUAUCUUGGUUAGCAGAACCAACUGGAAAGGUAUUAGGUAAGACAAAUCUCAGUGUGAAAGUGUCAGUAGAAACUGGGUCACUUUUGAUAUUCUGUCCUUACAGGUGGACAAGGGUAAUAGGAAGCUGCAAUUUCCCAGAAGAUGAGAGUUGUCUGGAAUGAAUUCUACUAUUGAACUUUAACCCAACCCACCAGAGUCACUCAGCAGCAAAAUUGGCUUGACAGUGAGGCAACUUGUGGGCAAGGCCUGUGAGAAAACCCUUGAUUACUUCCUGUUUGUCAAGUCAUUGCAAAGCUUGCCCAGCAGGCUUUGCCAUCAGUGACACCAGCUGAGGUGACUGAGGGUGGGAAGGCAGAAACGCCAGUGAUGAAAAUGAGGUUUCCAGGCAAAUCAUUUGAUUUUCAGAAAUAGUUGUGGUUUAGUCAUGCGUGGUGUGUUUUGCUUGAUACUUUGAUAAAAGGAAACAGAGUCCUGUGUAGUAGUCAGGAACAGAACCAUCUGCAGGUGUUAGAAAACAGUGGUUAACAGUGGUGGCUUAACCAUGAGAGAGAUGUGUGUAUCUCAUGCAAACCAAAUCUGGAUUUGAGCAAUCUGGGACUGGUUUGGCAACCUCAUGAUCAGCAGGGACUGUGGCUCCCUCUUUAGCUUGUUCCUCCACCAAAUCUAUUCAUGAUCUAAGAUGGCUCUUCAACCUCUCCACCUGGAGGAAGGAGAAGAAGGGGAAGAAAGGAGCCCCCUUUCUUUGAGGACACUUCGUCAGAAGUCUCAUGUUGCAGUUCUGUUUACAUUCACUGCAUGGAACACAUUGGCUACACCUAGAGUUGAAGAUGGUUGGAAUAUAGUCUUCAAUGGGCAUGCAAGUGUCCAGCAAAACAUUGGGGGUCUUGUUACACACACACACACACACACACACAUGCACAACUGGAUGUCUCUGUACACUGUGUCCUCUCAGUAAAGAUAAAAUGUCUUGAUGCCAUUUGAUAACUCUAUAGAGACCUUAGGAAGCAUGUAUCCUCUUUUAUUUACUUAGGUGAUUUAGUUAGUUCUCCUCCUGCCAGUGGACACAUUAUACAGAUAGCAUCCUUUAUUUUUGUUUGUAGGAAUGUGAGAAACAAG